rnacentral:rRNA from 1 species
UACAGAGGUCUCAAGCGUUGUUUCGGAUUCAUUGGGCGUAAAGGGUGCGUAGGCGGCGUGGUAAGUCGGGUGUGAAAUCUCGGAGCUUAACUCCGAAACUGCAUUCGAUACUGCCGUGCUUGAGGACUGGAGAGGAGACUGGAAUUUACGGUGUAGCGGUGAAAUGCGUAGAUAUCGUAAGGAAGACCAGUGGCGAAGGCGGGUCUCUGGACAGUUCCUGACGCUGAGGCACGAAGGCCAGGGGAGCAAACGGG